rnacentral:lncRNA from 1 species
UCUCGUGAUCACUCAUUGUCUUCCGCAUCGGCUCCUUGAAAGAGCGCACGAUUCUUGUAGAAAUCCCAAGGUUUCCACCAUCCAAGUGAAUCGAACGAGUCAAAAUCUAGGUUAAAGAAAAAACAUCAAGAAUACGACGUAACCACCAAAACGAUGCCUGAAGACAUCAAGAACGAUACUAAAGUUUUUCUCAUACCAACGAUGACCAAAAGAAUCAAAACUCCCGUCUUUUUCAAUAAAGAAAUACGUCAAGAACGAAACAGAAUCGCCGAGAGAAACCCCGCGAUCGGAAUGUUGGGAAUAAGUACUUGAAACAGAACCUGAGCCA